UACGGGGGGUGCGAGCGUUGUCCGGAAUCACUGGGCGUAAAGGGCGCGUAGGUGGCUUUGUAAGUUUGCGGUGAAAGCCCGGGGCUCAACCCCGGGGUCUGCCGUGGAUACUGCAAGGCUUGAGUACUAUAGAGGCAGGUAGAAUAUCGGGUGUAGCGGUGGAAUGCGUAGAGAUCCGAUAGAAGACCGGUGGCGAAGGCGGCCUGCUGGGCAGUAACUGACACUGAGGCGCGACAGCGUGGGGAGCAAACAGG
rnacentral:rRNA from 1 species